UACGUAGGGGGCCAGCGUUGUCCGGAUUCAUUGGGCGUAAAGCGCGUGUAGGCGGCCAGGUAGGUCCGAUGUGAAAUCUGGAGGCUCAACCUCCAGCGGUCAUUGGAAACCAUCUGGCUAGAGUCCGGAAGAGGGAGAGUGGAAUUCCUGGUGUAGCGGUGAAAUGCGCAGAUAUCAGGAGGAACACCGGUGGCGAAGGCGGGUCUCUGGGCCGAUAUUGACGCUGAGGAGCGAAAGCGUGGGGAGCGAACAGG
rnacentral:rRNA from 1 species